rnacentral:ncRNA from 1 species
GCGGUACCGGUUCACGCCCGUAAGGGCGACCCGGCGACC